rnacentral:misc_RNA from 1 species
AACGCACAUUGCGCCCUCUGGUAUUCCGGGGGGCAUGCCUGUUCGAGCGUCAUUACAACCCUCAAGCUCUGCUUGGUAUUGGGUGUCACCAGACCUGGUGCGCCUUAAAAUCAGUGGCGGUGCCAUCCGGCUUCAAGCGUAGUAAUAUCUCUCGCUUCUGGAGUUUGGGUGUGCUCUUGCCAGCAACUCCCAAUUUUUCAAAGGUUGACCUCGGAUCAGGUAGGGAUACCCGCUGAACUUAA